rnacentral:tRNA from 1 species
GAGACUCUAGUUAAAUCAUAACUCUUCCUUGUCAAGGAAAAAUUGUGGGUUAAACCCCCACGUGUCUUG